rnacentral:rRNA from 1 species
GACGUAGGUGGCGGAACGUUAUCCGGAAUUAUUGGGCGUAAAGGGUGCGUAGAUGGCUUGAUAAGUUAGCAGUGGGAAAUCGAGGCUCAACCUCGGUGGAAGCUGGUAAUACUGUCAGGCUCGAGGUGCAGGAGAGGUUAACGGAACUCCAUGUGGAGCGGUAAAAUGUGUAGAUAUAUGGAAGAACACCAAUACGGCGAAGGCAGUUAACUAUUCUGUUACUGACAUUGAGGCACGAAAGCGUGGGGAGCAAAACGG